rnacentral:miRNA from 4 species
UUAUAAUACAACCUGAUAAGU